rnacentral:tRNA from 1 species
GCCUUCAUGGUGCAACGGUAGCACACUCGGCUCGUAUUCCAGAGGUCUAGGCUGGAGUCCCGGCGAAAGCA